GGGGCCGUGGUCUAGCGGUAUGACGCCGCCCUCACACGGCGGAGGUCGUGGGUUCGAUUCCCACCGGCCCCA
rnacentral:tRNA from 1 species